UACAGAGGGGGCAAGCGUUAUUCGGAAUUAUUGGGCGUAAAGGGCGCGUAGGCGGCUUUUCAAGUGACGGGUGAAAUCCCUCGGCUUAACCGAGGAACUGCCUGUCAGACUGGAAGGCUUGAAUCCGGGAGAGGGAUGCGGAAUUCCAGGUGUAGCGGUGAAAUGCGUAGAGAUGUGGAGGAACACCGAUGGCGAAGGCAGCCCCCUGGGUCAAGAUUGACGCUCAUGCACGAAAGCGUGGGGAGCAAACAGG
rnacentral:rRNA from 1 species